AAAUAGAACGCAGUACCUACUGGGAAAAAGAAAACAAGCAAAUUUUGAGAGAAAUAAUCAAGCCUUAAUUAAAAAGAGAUUAGAGAUUAUUAAGAAAAUGGAUUUAUUGACAAACACAAGCACAAAGCCAAACUCAAAGCUGAAAUAACUGAAAAGCAAGUA